ensembl:lncRNA
AUGAAACAUAAACUCUACGCCUUCACCAAGCAGCAAACAGCCACUGUUUGUUAUUCAGAAGGAUUUGACCAGAGUUUGGAUGAUGUGCUUGAAAACUCGGCUACUGAUUUGCUCCUUGUGGCAUCAUCCCAACACUCCUUGAAAAAAAAAAGAAGGAAAAAAAAACACUUCCUCAUUCCUACAGCAGCACUGACUGAAACAGCAAGUAUCAGAGACUGUGAUCUCAAGUGGGCUUCAACUAGUCCCGGAGAGCAGUUAAAGGAGCAGGACCAAAACCAGAGCAGGCGGUCCGAAACCCCUGAAGUUCAGCUACCAAGGACACAACCAUGCGCGGCCUCGGCACGAACACGACUACCACUGCUCCACAUCAAUGCCACAACCCAGCCUCUCUCUCUGGGAGCUGCCCCAGACCUACCAAUGGCACCAUGCAGCCUGCCUGUAAAGAGAGGUUUGGCAGUCAAGCCUUGCCCUCCCCUUGUGUGCUCACAGGAGGAUCAUCCCUUCCUAAAUAUUUGCUUGCAUGGUGGGUGCUGACCUCAGAGGGGAGUUUCCGGACACUAACAGAGCGAGCAGGUCACCAUCUCCAUUCAGUUCAACUGGUUCGCCUGCUAGUUCUGAACAAGGCAACAAACAAUCAAACAAAUUAAAAAUAUCUAUAUAUAGCCACAACUGGGGAGAUGACAACCCACCUGACAGUGGGCAUUCUCUCCUCCUGUGAAAAAAGUGACCAUCUUCAUUCUACCUUCCAGGAGAACGGGGACAUUUUACCCAGACACAAUGGUUCCCACUAAACUCAGGUUACAGCUCCCACAACGCAGUCUGUAGCUCGAGAGGCUGUCACGCUCUCAGCAGAGGAUGCAACACAGCUCUGUGCGCUGGCAGGCAAUGCGUACAUUGCAUGGGUUUCCUAAAUCUACAACAAGUACACAUCCAGUAGCAGGGAGGCAACCUUACAAUAACAGUGCCAGAUCUGCACAGUUCCUGUCUGCUUCAUUCCAGCUAAUGAUGACAGAGUGUUAGACAUAGGGCCCAGCAUCUCUUCAGCUGAAACGAAAGGAAACUAAUCCACAUCUGAGCUCAGAAAAAAAUACGAAGGAACCCAUCCUCAGGUUUUAAGUGCUUUUACUGGAAUGGGUCAUACAUUGGUGACAGGCAGGUGGCUGCAGGAACAGGAAUUAACAGAAGCGUGUUGGGUCACAGUUAAUGCUGGAACCUCUGAGAAGGGUGCAUGGUCUCCAUGGGAUGCCAAAGCCUCCAGAGAUAACUAAGGAAGAAAGGCAGGAGCCACAAGGGAAGAAUAUUAUCAGAGACUGCUCUGCCAGAAAACAGCUCUUGAGAUGCAGAUAGAGAAAUGUCAGAUGUUCAGCUCACGGCCAAUCCCACUCGGCAGGCAACAUCCCCAGCAGCACAGUGGGUGCUCUGGUGCUCUGCCAACCUCUUCCCUGGACGCACUGAAUGGAAAACAACUCAGGACUCCUGUUCACGUUGCCCAUCUCAGACCUUCAGCACUAACUAGGCUGCGUGUUCACACUGCAGAAAGAUCUGAUACACUGAAUGGAAUCAAACCUUUACUAAUUAUAUCUGAGCAUGUGGGCUCUGUGCCCAAAAUAAACUGUCCUGUCAUGCUACA